CGUAAUAAUAGAAACUAACCAGGAUUCCCUUAGUAACGGCGAGUGGACUGGGAUACCCAAUAUACCAUCUGUGCGUACCUCGGUGCGUACAAAUUUUAGCCCGUCGAUACUAUCCUAGCAUAGUACUGGCUUCGGCCGGUAACCUAUCAAUGCGCGAAUUGUAGCAUCGUACAAAAAUAUAUUAUACAACGUAUAUAUACGCAACCCACACUUAUAUAUAUUUUUAUGCGUACACUUACUUUCAUAAACACACAGCGCUCUCGCGUUGGAAAGCAAGUUUAUAUCCUUUUUUGGAUACGCCAUAGAGUGUGACAGCCACGUUUCAACUCUACGUACGUACGUAUACACACGCGUUAUAUACAUACACUGUAUUUUAUAUAUAACCUGAGUCGAGUUAUUU
rnacentral:rRNA from 1 species